rnacentral:rRNA from 1 species
GCAAGUCGAACGAGUUCUCGUUGAUGAUCGGUGCUUGCACCGAGAUUCAACAUGGAACGAGUGGCGGACGGGUGAGUAACACGUGGGUAACCUGCCCUUAAGUGGGGGAUAACAUUUGGAAACAGAUGCUAAUACCGCAUAGAUCCAAGAACCGCAUGGUUCUUGGCUGAAAGAUGGCGUAAGCUAUCGCUUUUGGAUGGACCCGCGGCGUAUUAGCUAGUUGGUGAGGUAAUGGCUCACCAAGGCGAUGAUACGUAGCCGAACUGAGAGGUUGAUCGGCCACAUUGGGACUGAGACACGGCCCAAACUCCUACGGGAGGCAGCAGUAGGGAAUCUUCCACAAUGGACGCAAGUCUGAUGGAGCAACGCCGCGUGAGUGAAGAAGGCUUUCGGGUCGUAAAACUCUGUUGUUGGAGAAGAAUGGUCGGCAGAGUAACUGUUGUCGGCGUGACGGUAUCCAACCAGAAAGCCACGGCUAACUACGUGCCAGCAGCCGCGGUAAUACGUAGGUGGCAAGCGUUAUCCGGAUUUAUUGGGCGUAAAGCGAGCGCAGGCGGUUUUUUAAGUCUGAUGUGAAAGCCCUCGGCUUAACCGAGGAAGCGCAUCGGAAACUGGGAAACUUGAGUGCAGAAGAGGACAGUGGAACUCCAUGUGUAGCGGUGAAAUGCGUAGAUAUAUGGAAGAACACCAGUGGCGAAGGCGGCUGUCUGGUCUGUAACUGACGCUGAGGCUCGAAAGCAUGGGUAGCGAACAGGAUUAGAUACCCUGGUAGUCCAUGCCGUAAACGAUGAAUGCUAGGUGUUGGAGGGUUUCCGCCCUUCAGUGCCGCAGCUAACGCAUUAAGCAUUCCGCCUGGGGAGUACGACCGCAAGGGUUGAAACUCAAAGAAAUUGACGG